AGACCCGAAACCCGGUGAUCUAGCCAUGGGCAGGUUGAAGGUUGGGUAACACUAACUGGAGGACCGAACCGACUAAUGUUGAAAAAUUAGCGGAUGACCUGUGGCUGGGGGUGAAAGGCCAAUCAAACCGGGAGAUAGCUGGUUCUCCCCGAAAGCUAUUUAGGUAGCGCCUCGUGAAUUCAUCUCCGGGGGUAGAGCACUGUUUCGGCUAGGGGGCCAUCCCGGCUUACCAACCCGAUGCAAACUGCGAAUACCGGAGAAUGUUAUCACGGGAGACACACGGCGGGUGCUAACGUCCGUCGUGAAGAGGGAAACAACCCAGACCGCCAGCUAAGGUCCCAAAGUCAUGGUUAAGUGGGAAACGAUGUGGGAAGGCCCAGACAGCCAGGAUGUUGGCUUAGAAGCAGCCAUCAUUUAAAGAAAGCGUAAUAGCUCACUGGUCGAGUCGGCCUGCGCGGAAGAUGUAACGGGGCUAAACCAUGCACCGAAGCUGCGGCAGCGACACUCAGGUGUUGUUGGGUAGGGGAGCGUUCUGUAAGCCUGUGAAGGUGUGCUGUGAGGCAUGCUGGAGGUAUCAGAAGUGCGAAUGCUGACAUAAGUAACGAU
rnacentral:rRNA from 1 species